UAUCUUCUUAGACUGAAAUAACUUGUCGCCAAAAAUUACUAAUUGCACGUGAAUCUUAUGUGCGAACUGGCUGUCAGACAUCUUAGCUGCGCUGCGUUGAGUUGAGCCCUCUCAGUGGGCAAAACCGCAAAAACAGUCAGUAAGAUUGACAGCUCAUCUAGCUAUAUAUAAAUCUGCAACACCAAAGGUUGCUAACAUUUUCCAGUCUAGGCAGUUGAAGAAACUUUAAGCUGGAAAAGUAACGAUUUUUUAAAGAUGCAAAUUAUAAAGAUAAUUGUCGUUAUCAUUCUUCUCUUCACGUUUGUGUCACGUCAUCAAGCACAAAGAUGUGGUGGUCCAGUGAUUUAUUAUUGCAAGGAAAAUCAAAUUAAAUCGUUCAUCAAAAACAGAAUGAUUACGAAAAUGACGACAUAUAGAAAAUGGCGUAAAACAUUAAGUACACUUCGAUUGACAUGAGGCAAAAUUGCAAGAUUCUAUGAGAUCAAAUUUGUCAGCCUUUAUAUGAAGGGGAUACCGAUUCAGAAACGUAGAAUGUAUUACAAGGAACUUAGAACAUGGCAAUGACAUACUCUUUUUAGGAAUAUAAUUUAUAACAGCUCAGUGGAAAUAUAAUUGACCUGUGGUCGGAAAAGUUAUCUUUUCUGCAUACAUGUACUAUUUUUAUAAACUGGAAGUUUUGACUUUUAUUUCGAAUGAGUUUGAUGUUUACUAUACACAAGUAUGAAUGGAGUCUUUAUACAUGCAUUAAUUGUUUGUAUAAAGCUCAUUAAAAAACAAAGACAUCACUUCUUCAUCCAUUAGGAGUGAUUGUCAUCUAAAACAUCUCUUUAUAUUUAAACUAUAUUAUCAACAUUUGAACUUAACAUACUCUCAACUGUUUAAGCUUAAUUUUAGUCAUAUUAGCUGAAAGCUUUGUUGUAGUUAGGUAAACUAUUGAACGGCACAUUAAGCCCAUUUGAAACAAUUUUAAUUUUUUGAAAGGAUGUAACUUAAUUGUUCUUUUUGUGAUAGAUAAUUAACGUUUUCAUUUAUA